ensembl:lncRNA
GUAAUAAAGAAAAAUAGUGUAGAUUAGUUUGAGUUGUGUUUAGCUGAGCUGUGUCAUUUUGUGGAGGAGCAGCAAGACUUUCAGUGUGACUCUCAGGAGAAAGCCUCACACAUGUCUGUUGUCUUAAUAGUGGAAUUAUCUGGAAAAUGAACCAGUUCUUAUAAGCUGCUUUUCAAUAUGAGCAGUCAAAGCAUUUAUACAGCGUGCUUCAUUCACACAAGCACUUCUUUUUCUAACAAUGACACUAUGAUGGAUGCAUCGGAGAGCAAGUCGGGGCUCCAUAUCUUGACCAAGGAUACCGUGGCGUGCAGACUGGAGCAGCCAGGGAUCAAACCUCCAACCUUCCAUAGCAACCAGGACCAUAAUGAACCCUGACUCCACAAGACACUCAGGAUCCACCUGCCCAGGCUAGGUGUGGAGGGUUGUGUCCGAAGCAACUGUUCUUUUCUUGCCUUCUUCCCAGCCAUAGUUAGCCAACUCUCUUGCAAGCUCCACCAGGAAGUCCACCCGUCUUUCCUGCGUCCCGGUGCAUGCUUGAUACAGCACGUGUGCAUUCAGUGCUGCCAUGUCAAUCAUGUUAUAGAACACGGCAACUGGCCAGCGCCGUGUUCCUCUGUGGACAGUGUACUCCCACACCAUCUGGUCCAUCACAUCCACGCCACACUUUGUGGUGUUGUAAAGGGUGACAGUGUUGGGCUUCCUUUUGGUGGUGUUAUCAGUCUGAACCACGCUGUGCAUGCUGCUAAGAAUAUAGACUGUCUUCUUCCGUUUGGCCGCAUACGCCGUCAGCG